GGCUAGCAAAGUUGUUUAGAGCUAAGAUUUGUUUAGAAGUUGAGAAAAUCCUUUAUAGAUUUCAAAGAAAAAGAGUUUUAUGUGCAAAGUAUUCUUGGGAUCUUUUGGUGAGAGAUGGGAGUUGGGUUUGACAUUGGGAAGUGAUUGUGUAACCUGUAUGUUUGGGAAAAGGGUAGAACAAUGGAGAUUGAGCAUUGUAUGCAUGAG
rnacentral:lncRNA from 1 species